UAUUCACACAGUGUCUCCAGGAUGUCUUC
rnacentral:piRNA from 1 species